rnacentral:rRNA from 1 species
GAUGAACGCUAGCGACAGGCUUAACACAUGCAAGUCGAGGGGCAGCAUGAUUUGUAGCAAUACAGAUUGAUGGCGACCGGCGCACGGGUGAGUAACGCGUAUGCAACCUGCCCAUCAGCGGGGAUAACCCGUCGAAAGACGGACUAAUACCGCAUAAAACGAGGGGUUCCGCAUGGAAAUAUUUGUUAAAGAUUUAUUGCUGAUGGAUGGGCAUGCGUUCUAUUAGGCAGUUGGCGGGGUAACGGCCCACCAAACCGACGAUAGAUAGGGGUUCUGACGAGGAAGGUCCCCCACAUUGGUACUGAGACAC